GGUGAGUAAUGCCUGGGAAUUUGCCCAUUUGUGGGGGAUAACAGUUGGAAACGACUGCUAAUACCGCAUACGCCCUACGGGGGAAAGCAGGGGACCUUCGGGCCUUGCGCUGAUGGAUAAGCCCAGGUGGGAUUAGCUAGUAGGUGAGGUAAAGGCUCACCUAGGCGACGAUCCCUAGCUGGUCUGAGAGGAUGAUCAGCCACACUGGGACUGAGACACGGCCCAGACUCCUACGGGAGGCAGCAGUGGGGAAUAUUGCACAAUGGGGGAAACCCUGAUGCAGCCAUGCCGCGUGUGUGAAGAAGGCCUUCGGGUUGUAAAGCACUUUCAGCGAGGAGGAAAGGGUGUAAGUUAAUACCUUACAUCUGUGACGUUACUCGCAGAAGAAGCACCGGCUAACUCCGUGCCAGCAGCCGCGGUAAUACGGAGGGUGCGAGCGUUAAUCGGAAUUACUGGGCGUAAAGCGUGCGCAGGCGGUUUGUUAAGCGAGAUGUGAAAGCCCCGGGCUCAACCUGGGAACCGCAUUUCGAACUGGCAAACUAGAGUCUUGUAGAGGGGGGUAGAAUUCCAGGUGUAGCGGUGAAAUGCGUAGAGAUCUGGAGGAAUACCGGUGGCGAA
rnacentral:rRNA from 1 species